ACUUGUUCAAUAGACAGUGCUUGUUCUCUACUUCCUAUUCUAUUAUCAUUGGUUUUACAGAGAAAUAAGCUGGAACCCAGAAUUGCCUGGAGCCAAAUAUGAAGAUGUGCCUCUGCAGCCCCCCCAGCAGACCACCUGCACCAUUAAUGAACGAUACCACUGCCUGUGGCCCAGGAAACGGAACAUUGCAUUCUCCGUGGACAGAGCUAAGGACCAGAAUUACCCUCACAUGAAAAAGAGACCAGAGA